GAACGCGCACUACCUGUGUAGAGCGCUCGCUUCGCAUGCGAGAAGUCCGGGGUUCAAUUCCCCGUGCCUCCA
rnacentral:tRNA from 16 species